rnacentral:lncRNA from 1 species
GAAGUUAAGCUUUUCAUGUAUGUUUGUGUGUGUGUUUUGUUUUAUAAAAGUGUGUCACUAAAUGUGUGUAUCUGGCACUUCACAUGGUAAUGCAAAAUGCUUUGUGAUGGAUUGAUGAUGUUCUAAUCCAUGGAUUUUUCAUGGAUUAGAUUUAGUUUUUCAAGGUACAAUAGCAUGGGAAGGAACACGGGUGCAGAUAUGAUUAGUCAGCAUAUUGUGAUUCCGCAGGCCGUUUUGUGUUCCCUUCACGAGGAAGAUUGCAAAGAGAAUAAUACAAAAGGAAAUGCAUGUUGUAUCAUUGUAGCAUAUGUAUAAGUAAAUUUGUGAAAAGCAUUGGUUUUCUUUUGGCAUCUAAUUAUGAGUCAGUUGUUGGCUAGAAUUUUCUCUAGUGGAUUUCCUUUGCAGUACUGAAUAUAUUUUUUCUGCAGGUUUCUUGCACAAACUGGUUUAGUCUCUGUUGAACAUCAAAUGCGUGAGAUGGGCUUAGAGAACCUAAAGAGCAAAUGACUUUUUCUUGUAAGAUGCGUGAGAUGGGCUUAGAGAACCUAAAGAGCAAAUGACUUUUUCUUAUAAGAUGCGUGAGAUUGGGAGCUUUUCUGAGGAUACUCUUGAAAUGUUUGAGAAAUACUCUAUAGAAGUAGUUUUGGUUUAGCGUGUAAUAAAGAGGAUCUCAAUAUUCUUAGUCUCAAUACGUG